rnacentral:rRNA from 1 species
CCUACGGGUUGCACCAGUGGGGAAUAUUGCACAACGGGCGCAAGCCUGAUGCAGCCAUGCCGCGUGUGUGAAGAAGGCCUUCGGGUUGUAAAGCACUUUCAGCGGGGAGGAAGGCGGUGAGGUUAAUAACCUCAUCGAUUGACGUUACCCGCAGAAGAAGCACCGGCUAACUCCGUGCCAGCAGCCGCGGUAAUACGGAGGGUGCAAGCGUUAAUCGGAAUUACUGGGCGUAAAGCGCACGCAGGCGGUCUGUCAAGUCGGAUGUGAAAUCCCCGGGCUCAACCUGGGAACUGCAUUCGUAACUGGCAGGUUAGAGUCUUGUAGAGGGGGGUGGAAUUCCAGGUGUAGCGGUGGAAUGCGUAGAGAUCUGGAGGAAUACCGGUGGCGAAGGCGGCCCCCUGGACAAAGACUGACGCUCAGGUGCGAAAGCGUGGGGAGCAAACAGGAUUAGAUACCCCCGUAGUC